GCGCCCGUAGCUAAGUUGGCAGAUCGGUGGAACGGUGAUCCACAGUCCCGGGUUCAAGUCCCGGCGGUCGCU